rnacentral:rRNA from 1 species
UGGGGAAUAUUGCACAAUGGGCGCAAGCCUGAUGCAGCCAUGCCGCGUGUGUGAAGAAGGCCUUCGGGUUGUAAAGCACUUUCAGCGAGGAGGAAGGUGGUGAACUUAAUACGUUCAUCAAUUGACGUUACUCGCAGAAGAAGCACCGGCUAACUCCGUGCCAGCAGCCGCGGUAAUACGGAGGGUGCAAGCGUUAAUCGGAAUUACUGGGCGUAAAGCGCACGCAGGCGGUUUGUUAAGUCAGAUGUGAAAUCCCCGGGCUCAACCUGGGAACUGCAUUUGAAACUGGCAAGCUAGAUCUCGUAGAGGGGGGUAGAAUUCCAGGUGGUAGCGGUGAAAUGCGUAGAGAUCUGGAGGAAUACCGGUGGCGAAGG